rnacentral:rRNA from 1 species
GACGAACGCUGGCGGCGUGCUAAAACAUUCAAAGUGAACGGGGAACGAGGGAAGUUGCUCCCUUCGGGUCCGGGGCGAACCGGGGAGGAACACGUUAGCAAUCUGCCCCCAACUCCGGGGUAAACGUUGGAAACGACGUUUAAUUCCGGAUACGACGCGGGAGGGGAUCCCCUCCGCGGGGAAAGAACUUCGGUUCGGGAGGAGCUCGCGGCCUAUCAGCUUGUUGGUGAGGUAACGGCUCACCAAGGCGACGACGGGUAGCCGGCCUGAGAGGGUGACCGGCCACACUGGGACUGAGACACGGCCCAGACUCCUACGGGAGGCAGCAGUGGGGAAUAUUGCACAAUGGGCGCAAGCCUGAUGCAGCAACGCCGCGUGAGGGACGACGGCCUUCGGGUUGUAAACCUCUUUUAGCAGGGAAGAAGCGAAAGUGACGGUACCUGCAGAAAAAGCACCGGCUAACUACGUG